rnacentral:tRNA from 1 species
GGGCAUAUAGCUCAGUUGGUAGAGCACCCGGCUUUUAACCGGAUUGUCGUAGGUUCAAAUCCUACUGUGCCUA